AUUGAACGCUGGCGGCAUGCCUUACACAUGCAAGUCGAACGGUAACAGGUUAAGCUGACGAGUGGCGAACGGGUGAGUAAUGUAUCGGAACGUGCCCAGUCGUGGGGGAUAACUGCUCGAAAGAGCAGCUAAUACCGCAUACGACCUGAGGGUGAAAGCGGGGGAUCGCAAGACCUCGCGCGAUUGGAGCGGCCGAUAUCAGAUUAGGUAGUUGGUGAGGUAAAGGCUCACCAAGCCGACGAUCUGUAGCUGGUCUGAGAGGACGACCAGCCACACUGGGACUGAGACACGGCCCAGACUCCUACGGGAGGCAGCAGUGGGGAAUUUUGGACAAUGGGCGCAAGCCUGAUCCAGCCCUGCCGCGUGCGGGAAGAAGGCCUUCGGGUUGUAAACCGCUUUUGUCAGGGAAGAAAAGGUUCUGGCUAAUACCUGGGACUCAUGACGGUACCUGAAGAAUAAGCACCGGCUAACUACGUG
rnacentral:rRNA from 1 species